CCUACGGGAGGCAGCAGUGAGGAAUAUUGGUCAAUGGACGAGAGUCUGAACCAGCCAAGUAGCGUGAAGGAUGACUGCCCUAUGGGUUGUAAACUUCUUUUAUAUGGGAAUAAAACGUUCCACGUGUGGGAUUUUGUAUGUACCAUAUGAAUAAGGAUCGGCUAACUCCGUGCCAGCAGCCGCGGUAAUACGGAGGAUCCGAGCGUUAUCCGGAUUUAUUGGGUUUGAAGGGAGCGUAGGUGGAUUGUUAAGUCAGUUGUGAAAGUUUGCGGCUCAACCGGAAAAUUGCAGUUGAAACUGGCAGUCUUGAGUACAGUAGAGGUGGGCGGAAUUCGUGGUGUAGCGGUGAAAUGCUUAGAUAUCACGAAGAACUCCGAUUGCGAAGGCAGUUCACUGGACUGCAACUGACACUGAGGCUCGAAAGUGUGGGUAUCAAACAGGAUUAGAUACCCCUGUAGUC
rnacentral:rRNA from 1 species